rnacentral:rRNA from 1 species
UCCACGAGUUCCGUGCCGCAGCUAACGCAUUAAGCGCCCCGCCUGGGGAGUACGGCCGCAAGGCUAAAACUCAAAGGAAUUGACGGGGGCCCGCACAAGCGGCGGAGCAUGCGGAUUAAUUCGAUGCAACGCGAAGAACCUUACCAAGGCUUGACAUACACCGGAAACAUGCAGAGAUGUGUGCCCCGCAAGGUCGGUGUACAGGUGGUGCAUGGUUGUCGUCAGCUCGUGUCGUGAGAUGUUGGGUUAAGUCCCGCAACGAGCGCAACCCUCGUUCCAUGUUGCCAGCACGUAAUGGUGGGGACUCAUGGGAGACUGCCGGGGUCAACUCGGAGGAAGGUGGGGAUGACGUCAAAUCAUCAUGCCCCUUAUGUCUUGGGCUUCACGCAUGCUACAAUGGCCGGUACAGAGUGUUGCGAUACCGCGAGGUGGAGCGAAUCACUAAAAGCCGGUCUCAGUUCGGAUUGGGGUCUGCAACUCGACCCCAUGAAGUCGGAGUCGCUAGUAAUCGCAGAUCAGCAACGCUGCGGUGAUACGUUCCCGGGC